CUGAACUAGUCAUAUAAAAUUGUCCUCUAAGAGCCAAAAUUUUAAUCAGUGGAAGAGCUGAUUGCCAUGUAUUUCUUUUUCUUUCUUCUUCUUUUUUUUUUUUAAUUUAAAUUUUAAGUAGUUAACAUGCAGCGUAAUUUUGGUUUCAGGACUAGAAUUCAGCGAUUCAUCACUUGGAUACAACACACAGUGCCACAGGUUUCUGAGGAGGGAAAGAUGGGCCCCCAGAGCCACACUGCUCAUUGAAGUCUGUGCCAAAGGCCCCAACCCACACUGAGCUUUUUUUUUCCUACGCUCGUUUGCACUUUAUUUUUACUAUCAAUUUCCAUCUUCAUCGAAUAAGAGUUUCUGAGUAAGGAAGAAUCUUAGAGUGGACUUACAUCCAUUACUUCUCUAUUUUACAGAUGGGCUUGCUGGAGGCUCCCUGCCCUAAAUUCCAAUUCUGUUUCCAUUUUGAGCAUCCCAGGUGAAAGAACGGAAAGUACAGAAGGGUGAAACAGUUUGUCCAAGUCACACGGGUAAGAAGCACUGAAGUUGGUGGCCAACUCAGGUGGCCCUUCUCAGGAGUUCACAGCACCAACCACAGCAGAAGCUACCAUAUCUGCUCAUGGCAACUGAGCAAGCCAGUCCUGUCCUCUGAUAGUCAUGCAGAAAGACAG